rnacentral:ribozyme from 1 species
UGCCCAGCAACUCCUAUCCCUACCUCCUCGUGGUACUGGCCGGAAUACGAGUAACCUUGGGGAAGAUCGGGUAACCAACUCCCGGUGGGAACGUUGGUCCUAUGUUAACAGGGAAUUGG